AGCGCAGGCGGUUUCUUAAGUCUGAUGUGAAAGCCUUCGGCUCAACCGAAGAAGUGCAUCGGAAACUGGGAAACUUGAGAGCAGAAGAGGACAGUGGAACUCCAUGUGUAGCGGUGAAAUGCGUAGAUAUAUGGAAGAACACCAGUGGCGAAGGCGGCUGUCUGGUCUGUAACUGACGCUGAGGCUCGAAAGCAUGGGUAGCAAACA
rnacentral:rRNA from 1 species